GUUCUAUCGUGACACAGCACAGGAACAGCUCUAGGGUUCGGGAGCAUACAAGAACUCCUCUGAAAUGUCUAUCUCAGAGGCCUUUUCCAAGCUGAUUCUGUGACUUCAUCACAGAACAAAUGGCUCUUUUAGUGUGCAGGAAGUGUCAAGGUCCACAGGCACAUGCUGGGAUGAGGGAAUGCAGACAAAAAGACUUGAACUGAGGGACUUUCCCUCAGUCCUGGAGAGCAGUGCACAGCUUUUACAAGGACUCCUGACAAGCUCUCCAACUCUUCCUAUCUUAGAAGUUGUCUUCCUUGAGCUAGCAAACUGAGGAGACUCUAAACUCCAUAGCCACAGGCUGUGCCAUGUGAGGAGUGGAAUCUCUGCAGGCCACAUUACAAAUGCUGCCCACUCCCCACUGGCUAGAGACACCCCUCUCUUAGCUGGAGCUGUUGACAGCGGCUUUACCCAACCAAAGGCCUCUUUGUGGCAUUUUGGUUUCCAUAUGCUGCAACAUCUACUUACGUGCCAGGUGGGUGAGAAAGUACCCAGAAUAAGCCACGGAAAAAGCCGUGCAAACUGCAGCACACACUCCCUCCAUGGCUCGAGCAGCACUGCUCCAGUCUGCACCAGACAACGCCUGUGGGAAAAAACAAAAAUACUCUGAGUCCUGCUGGCAGAGACCUCGUCGAUCAGCAGGUUCGCCUGCAGUGAGCGUGCCACAGAGCUGCUCUGCACACUGAGCCCUUCCGGGCCUCAGCACAGCAACUUUGCCUUGACAACGCCGGGAUGCGGCCGCUGACAUCACAAUAGCAGCCGCCCUAGGCUGGAUUGUGAAUUCAUGCAUAGAACCAGACCUGCUCUACACCUAAUGCCAAAAAAAAAGCCUGCAAAGUUCUCCUCUGCUACAAAGCAACACAAAAAGCCCUCCUAGUCCAUCACCUGUUGCUCAAGGCAUGUAAGAGUAGAAACACACUGAGCCCCUAGAGCUCACACUGAGAAGCUGAGCACUGAGAAGGGACCAGGAUGUGAGGAACCACAUUAGUGGUCUUUGGCAACUAUUUCUGCUGAGCAAAAGCCAGAAGGCUUGUUCCAGCUGGACCUUCCUUCGUUCUAGAAAGCAGAAAACAAGGAGAAGCACUACUUUAAUUACAUUUAGAAGUUUCUCCUAGGUACAGAGACAAGGUCAUGGAUCUUUCAGCAGUCUAUAUUCAAAACAUUUUACAUCAUAGCCAUGGGUGGGAUUUCAGCAGGGAAAUGCCAUGACAGAAAAUGCAAGGAGGAUCAUUCUGUCUGACUCACUCUAACAGGGAGACCUUGCGACCAAAGCACCACCACCAUUUUUUCCCCCAUUUUUGUCCUUCCACAGUAUUUGUUAGCACAUGGGGCUGAGAUGGGUGGCACGGAAGUGACAGCUCUGACACACAGCUGAACCCAGCAGGGCCAGAGUGGCAUGUGGGACUGUUUUUCUGCUCCAGCAGAACAAGGCAAGCCAGAGUGGUGACACUGAUCCCAAGUGAGUCCAGCCAAGCCAAGUGGAGCCCAGCAGGGUGGUAGGAAGAGGCAGUGAAGUGGCAGAUCCCAUUCCCACACACAUGCCCAGCGUGGCAGACUGAUGGCAGCGGCAGUGCCAAACAGAGCUCUGCAGGGACAGAGAGACACCCAUCACCAUCGCCACUGCCACCAUCCCUGCUGCAGAGAGGGAGCAGGAAACUGCCACUGCAGGUGCACAGCUGCUCCAGGCAGCACCAGCAGCCCCCAUCUACCAUCAGAACCAUUCUAAGGGGAGAGAGGAGAGGCUUUACAAGGACUACCUCAAGAAGAGGACAUAGAAUGGAGGGAAGGCCUUCGAAAGAAUAAACAACCCUCAUGCUGCCGCUUUUGCAAGGAAUAAAUGUCCAAGUUUCUUAGUAUCCAGACACAAAUCUGUGGAGUCUUGACAGCCAAGAAGCACAGGAACCUGGACACCUUGUUGUGAGAGACUAGAGGAGAUUGCUGGCUCAACACUUUUCAGGGGCUUGUAUGUGGGGAAGGGGGCAGAUCAAGCCUUGCUCUGGUGAGGCGAUGCCCCACUCGGCACGCCCCACACCCCCAGGCCUGUAUCCCAGCCCAGCAGCAGCCACUGAUCCCUGGCACACCAGAGGCAAUGCCCCACACCUGUGUCUGGAGCCCCUAACCCAGCUCCUAAAUGGCCAGGAAAGUAAUGGAUUUGCACCCAGAAACUGAUCUGAACUGCUCUCCACUGACACACUUGCUAAAAGCUUACAUAGAAAGCUUGUCCAGCACUAAAGAGAGAUGGGGAUGGAGAGAAACUAGCACCAUCCACAGUUUCUUCUGGAGAAAACAUGAACUUUUUUAGAAGAAAAUUAAAAACUCCCAGUAAAGGACCAUGCCUGGUAUCCAUAUGCAUGGAGGAUUGACUCAGAGCUGUAUGGUGCCCAUCAGCUAGAAAAGGAGCUUGUCCUGGGUUGACUAUAUGAUGCUUUUAUCCCCAAUUGUCUUGUUCUGUUUAUACCGAAUAAUAAGUUUUACACCUUUAAGACUCUCUUCCAGACAGUGAAGAGGGGAGGGAAGAAGCGCACAGUUUGUUUUCAGACUGCUCUCACUCCUCCACAUUCCUGCUCCUGGACUGUGUUGUCUGCGGAUGGACAGACAGCCGGACAGAGCUCCUUUUUUCCCUUUUCCUUGCUUUUAGUUAGUUUUAGCUAGCUGAGGCAAAGAAGUUCUCCGGAUUGUGAUUUUUUUCCUUUUUUCUUGGAUCUGUUCAAGCCUGCUCUGGACUGAACACCCAGAAGAGCACCGGCAGCUCCACCUGUGGGCCCUGGCCGGGCCUGGGCCGCGGCGUUUCCAGCACCAGAGACUGGUCAAAGACUGAGUGAGCCGAGCUGCAACCCAGGGAGGGGACUGUUCUGAGUUUGCUUUUCCUUGGAUUGUUUAAUAUUGUUUUAUUGUUUAAUAUUGUUUGGUUUCUAUUGCUUAAUAAACAGGUUUCUUUCCACUUUUCUCCAAGGAGAUAUCUUCUCCCGAACUGGUUGGAGGGGGGAGGGGCAAUUGAAUCUGCUUUUGUAGAGAAGCCCCUUUGGGGGUUAUCUCCCAAACUUGCCCUAAAC